CAUUGGCACUUCUGAAACGCCAGAGCCCCGCAGCCCCUGACUGCCUGCGCCUUCUGCACGCUGCCUCCAUCGGGUUCUCCAGGCAUGGGAUAAGGAGCAGGGACCGCAGCCCAGCCUUGGCUUCUCAGAGAGCCUGAUGUGGGAGCCAGACGAGUCGCUGAAUAUCGGAAGAAGAAAUGCAGCUCGGUGGUGAAUGCCCAAGUCCCGUCGAGAGGCAGAUUCCCGAUGACCACAAGUUAUCUAUGGGCUCCACUGUUUAGGAGUGAGGCACAGGAGCAGCCGUAGUGUAUGAACUGCUGCAGAAGUCUUGGUCGUGGAAGAAGUCAGCCCGCACAUCACAUCCCACAGGUAAGUGCUCUGUCUCCUAGCACGCUGUGUCACAGGACAGCCUGAGCUGCCUUCCCCACAACUCUUCAGUUAACUGCCUGUUUGACCUCUUGGCUCAGGAAACACAAGCAUUUAUCCUCUCUGAAAAAACGGGUCUUCUAGCAGCCGACCCUUUGCCAUGCUAGUUCUGAGCACUGAGCCAGAUGCGCAUGCCGCUCCAUCCCUGUGAAACCCCGCAGCAGCUCCUUCCAUAAAUCGAGAGCACGGUGCUGAGCCGCACCCCUCCCGCAGAGCAGGCCAGCUCCUUUCCUUCAAUUUUUGUGUUCAGCAUGCUUCUAGCCCAGCCUAUCUGCCAUCCUCUUGUGCAGUCCAUCAGCACUGUGUGUUUCCAGCUGAGACAGAAAGUUUGGGCCCGAGAAUGUGUUUUACAGUAAUCUGUGACGGGAACAUCUUCCUCACCUGCCCGCUUAAUUAUGAAGUGAAACAAGUGAGCUGUUUCCAGGACACACAUGUGGUGUGAUCUGUAUGAUCAGAUUUACAACAGCCAUAUAUGACGAGAGUGUGAUGUGGAGGAUUUUUCACUGCUAAUGGCAGUGGCUUUUAUUUCAAGCCCAUUUUUUUUUACAUUAAAAUUUUUAUUACAAAAACUGUAACAGUAAGGCAGUUUCUCAAUUGUCAGUCACUGUGAGCCAAACAAUUUUCAAUCACCUUUAAUACAAAACUAGAUUCACACAGGAGCCACGCUCUUGAUCCAAAAGCCCUUUGAGAAAUGAGGGGGUAAGGCAGAGAGGAACACCACCACCUGUGUCAUCACUUACACGUUCGGUAUGAGGUGUACGAACACUAUUGCAGUGGAGAAAGAUGACAUACGGAUUGUCUGCAGGUUAAAAAAAUAAGCUUGCCCUUUCUCUUCUGAUAAUCUGGAACAUUUCAGUCUGAUGUGCCUCAGCAGAAUUGAAGUUGAGUUUGGGGGGAUUUUCCUUUUAACCCAAGUGAAAUUUUCCACCGCCAAAAGACAAAUUAUUUUUCUUCCCUGAAGAACUGCAAGUCAUUGAGUAGUUCACAGAUUUAAAAAGUCAUGCUCUAAAACUUUUUUACUCCCCAAGCGAUGCCUCUUAGGAGACCAUUCUUAAAACGCUAGUCAACGCUGGAGAUACAUGAUGGUAGGUGAGGGAGGGAACUGUUUAGCAAACUGCCCUAGGCAUUCCACAAGUUCUUUCGGGCCUGUUGUUCAUCUUUUGGUGUUGCUUGAACAGAGAGGAAAAAAAAAACUUUGCUUGAUAUAAUGAAAUUAGGGUUUCUCAUCACGUCAACCCUGCCUUUUUCCAUCCAACAUGUAAGAGCCCCAUGUGUUUUUUUCCAAUGUGGCAGUACCUGAAGUAGUCACUGGCAGCUUUUAUUCAGUAAUUCUCUUUUACCUCACAUCAAUUCUAGAAUUGUUAGCUGUUAAUUAUUUUUGUGUGUCAAGUAAUGUGGCUCACUUGAGAGAAAAGCAGCUGUCUGUAAUAGCAAAACCAGACGCUGUUUUCCAAACAUGCUCGCGGUGGUAAUACACGGAUUUCUUUUUGUGCUCGUUAGCUAUCCAGGGCUGGCUCAUCUAGAAGCACUUAUAGAUGCCUCAGAGCCAGCAAGAGGAACUUAAUGCCCCCAACUAAGGCUCCUAACUCCAUGUUGUCCAUUGCACUCUUUUACGUGCAGGGAAGUGGCAGGACUCACUGCAUCCAUGGUGACCUUUUUUGGAGCUUAAGAAAGCCAACAAGAUGGGAAAGAGAAAACCAUGGCCAGGAACAGAGAUGACUGUACUGACACCACAUAAAAAAGGAGAAAACUUGGGUAAGUAUGGUCUGUGGUUGUUUUCGUUUGUUUUUAAUUCUUACAUCUUUGUGAUCAAAAAUAUGCUCUGAUUUCUUUGACUAAUCUGUAUCAGAUACUGCUCUAAUGGUACCAGCAAUUCUGACUGACUGAGCAGCACAAAGGGUGGUGGAACUGUUUCUAAUUGGUCUUUUCAUUAAAUGCUGGCUGGGCUUUGUUUUGCGUCUUUGAAAACACAAGCAAAAGGCAAGAAGGUAUAGGGCUACGAAUAAACAGUUAUGUAGGUCCCAUUGCUAACAGGCUCAGUAGAAAUUUAACAAAACAUUUUUCCACGAAAGGUUUUAAAGUGUCUUCUGAAAGUAUGUAGUUUCUCAAACUAUAGUACCGUAACUGCAUUCUCACUAUUCCAGAGGUAUUUUCUAACGUAUAAGCAGUUGGUUUCUUCUACGUUUUGGCUCAAUUUUCAAGAUUUUAUUGAGGCAGAAAACCCAAUUAACUAAAAUGGGAAUUUUUUCCUUGGUAAAGACUUCAGGCUUGACCCCCUAAAUCAGUAAAAACCAUCAUCAUCCAGAAUAUUAGACUGCUUAGGCAGCGUCUGGUGCAGCUCACUUUGAUUCUUGUCCUCAUGCUAGUGGAAUAUUGAGACAUUUUGCUAAAAAUCCUGCUGUUGAAGAGAAAUGGCUUAGGGAAGUGAACCUCCUGCAGCCUCUCCCCACCCUGGCUUAGGUUUGUCUGUGCUGGGGUCAGCAGGGAUGGCAGUUAUUCCUCCUGCAGGAACCUGAAGAACAGAACAGAAGUUCAACAGCUACAGCAGCCAGUCUCAUCUCCCUCAGAGGUUUCAACGUCAUCUCAGCGUAAGGCCGCCUCACUGCAAACUCAGGACCUGAGAGCCCCUGAUGGUAAGUGAGCUCCUCCAGCGUGGGCACUGCUGACCUGGGGACUGCGUGGGUGGUGGGCAUCACAACAGCCCCAGCCUGGCUCAGGGAAGGGAAGCAGUGAAGCAAGCAGCACCAGGGCCUCUGCAGAGGCCCUUUCUCAGCCACAGCUGAGGAGGGGGGAGGCAGCACAGGGGGCAUCACUGCAGUGGAGGCAGCCCCUGCCAGGUGAGCAACACCAGUCAUCGAGAGAGGGAACCUCCUCUGGUAUCCAAAGGUAUGGCACUGCUGCCGGCUGUGUUCAGCAUCCACGGCAACGAAAAUAUUCGCAAAAAAAAAAAAAAACAUCUAAAAAAGAUUUAGGAUUAUAAAUAGGCCAACUAUUUCUCACAAAAACUCAAGAACUGGGAGGACAAGGGUGGAGAGUGUUCUGUGAUAACUGUGUGUUACCUCAUCACCUGAAGUCUCAUAACCAAUUUGAAAUUCCAGUGUCCUAAGGCACAAUUACUUUGAUUGAUUAAUGAAGAUGGAAACAUUCCCAUCCCCACUGCCCAAGGAACAGAUGUAAGCGGUUACUACUAAGAAUAAAAGCAGCAUUUGUUUCUUUUUAUGUGGACAAACAAUAAAGGAAGGAAAUAGAGAGGAGAUAGGCCAUAAUCUCAGUUGUCAGGCUGCUCUGAUGCAGGCGUGUUUGACAUUACACUGCUAAAGCAUCUCAUCUAAGCAUACGCAACUGCUGGCUCACAUUUUCAAGGUUAAGAGCCAAAUUCACCAUAAAGUCCAAGAAGGAAGACAGUUAAAAAAAUUGGGCUUUUGUGGAAGUGGAAAAAACAGGCUAAAAUAGACUAUGAUAUAACCUGUUCCCCAGAGAAACACAAACCAUGCCCACGGUUUUCAACAGUAGUGGUCAUGUACUCUAGAAAAGCAAGGAGUCAGAUGUCUGGAAGUUGAGGAAUACGAACUGGUUUAAUUCAGCCUUCCUUAGAAAGGAGCCCUCCCCUUGACUCUUCCAGGCAGCGUUCAUCCCGCCAUCAGCAGACUGACAGUUGCGAGGACUCUAAAGCGAACGAUCACCGGCUUUCCGCACUGAUCCAGAGGGGUGUGGUGAAGGAACACCACACGUAACACACUGUCAGUUGUGGCCCUGAUCUGUAUUUUGUCCUUAUUUUCCUUUCUGUAACACUCAUGGGCCUUAAAAAUCAAUAUAAUCCAUUUGUAAAACUUUAAGGGGGUAUUUUAGAAGGAACUAAAAGUAUGUUUGUUUUGUCCACAGAUGAAACACUGGUGUAGCUGGAGACUGAACCUGUAGUGGAGUGUUAGUCAAUUGUAAACUGUAGGAGAUGUGUGCAUUUUACACAGACUGAAUACAGAAGAGAAGAAAGAAGAGUCUGCAUCAUUCCAACUCUGAUAAAGUGCACGGCCUUCUGAAUUCCUGUCCUCGCUCAUGGAGCCACUUAUUGGAUACUGCAAAGACAUAAAGCCCAAAGGAAAAGCAAGCCAGAGCAACCCCCAAACAAACCCCAGAGCUCCAGAUCGCAAGAAGCGAGAACAACGUAAGGGACACUCACCCCAUUUGUUUCCAACUAGUACUGGGCAGGCCGCAUGCCGCGUGCUGUAAUCUCCUUCUCCACUUGGAAAGAGAUUGUACCAGAAUACAGCUGUUC